rnacentral:rRNA from 1 species
GACACGCAAACUUCUCAACAGGCCGUACCAAUAUCCGCAGCUGGUCUCCAAGGUGAAGAGUCUCUAGUCGAUAGAAUAAUGUAGGUAAGGAAGUCGGCAAAUUAGAUCCGUAACUUCGGGAUAAGGAUUGGCUCUGAAGAUUGAGAUAGUCGGGCUUGAUUGGGAAACAAUAACAUGGUUUAUGUGCUCGUUCUGGGUAAAUAGAGUUUCUAGCAUUUAUGUUAGUUACUUGUUCCCCGGAUAGUUUAGUUACGUAGCCAAUUGUGGAACUUUCUUGCUAAAAUUUUUAAGAAUACUAUUUGGGUUAAACCAAUUAGUUCUUAUUAAUUAUAACGAUUAUCAAUUAACAAUCAAUUCAGAACUGGCACGGACUUGGGGAAUCCGACUGUCUAAUUAAAACAAAGCAUUGUGAUGGCCCUAGCGGGUGUUGACACAAUGUGAUUUCUGCCCAGUGCUCUGAAUGUCAAAGUGAAGAAAUUCAAGUAAGCGCGGGUCAACGGCGGGAGUAACUAUGACUCUCUUAAGGUAGCCAAAUGCCUCGUCAUCUAAUUAGUGACGCGCAUGAAUGGAUUAACGAGAUUCCUACUGUCCUAUCUACUAUCUAGCGAAACCACAGCCAAGGGAACGGGCUUGGAAUAAUUAGCGGGGAAAGAAGACCCUUUUGAGCUUGACUCUAAUCUGGCAGUGUAAGGAGACAUAAGAGGUGUAGAAUAAGUGGGAGAUAUUAGACCUCGUUUGGUAUCGUCAAUGAAAUACCACUACUCUUAUUGUUUCCUUACUUACUUGAUUAAAUGGAACGUGUAUCAUUUCCUAGCCAUUAUACGGAUAUAUUUAUUAUAUCUUAUGGUAUUGGGUUUUGAUGCAAGCUUCUUGAUCAAAGUAUCACGAGUUUGUUAUAUAAUCGCAAACAAAUUCUUUAAUAAAACGAUGCAUUUAUGUAUUUUUGAUUUGAAAAUUUGGUAUAACUCCAAUUACUCAGGUAUGAUCCAAUUCAAGGACAUUGCCAGGUAGGGAGUUUGACUGGGGCGGUACAUCUCUCAAAUAAUAACGGAGGUGUCCCAAGGCCAGCUCAGUGCGGACAGAAACCACCAUAGAGCAAAAGGGCAAAUGCUGACUUGAUCUCGGUGUUCAGUACACACAGGGACAGCAAAAGCUCGGCCUAUCGAUCCUUUUGGUUUAAAGAGUUUUUAACAAGAGGUGUCAGAAAAGUUACCAUAGGGAUAACUGGCUUGUGGCGGCCAAGCGUUCAUAGCGACGUCGCUUUUUGAUCCUUCGAUGUCGGCUCUUCCUAUCAUUGUGAAGCAAAAUUCACCAAGCGUUGGAUUGUUCACCCAUGCAAGGGAACGUGAGCUGGGUUUAGACCGUCGUGAGACAGGUUAGUUUUACCCUACUAAUGACAAAACGUUGUUGCGACAGCAUUCCUGCGUAGUACGAGAGGAACCGCAGGUACGGACCAAUGGCACAAUACUUGUUCGAGCGAACAGUGGUAUGACGCUACGUCCGUUGGAUUAUGCCUGAACGCCUCUAAGGUCGUAUCCGUGCUGGACUGCAAUGAUAAAUAAGGGGCAAUUUGCAUUGU